rnacentral:rRNA from 1 species
AACGAACGCUGGCGGCAUGCCUAACACAUGCAAGUCGAACGAGACCUUCGGGUCUGGUGGCGCACGCGUGCGUGACGCGGGGGAACCUGCCCUUAAGUUCGGCAGAACUCCCCGAAAGGGGUGCUAAUACCGGCUCAUAUCUUCCGACCAAAGAUUUAUCGACUUUGGGUGGGCGCGCGAUGUAUUGCCUAGUGGUUAGGGUAAAAGGCUACCAAGGCUACGAUACAUAGCUGGUUAGAGAGGAUGAGCAGCGACACUGGGACGGAGAAACGGCCCAGACUCUUACGGGAGGGAGGAGUGGGGAAUACAGGAAAACGGGGGAAAGGCUGAAGGAGCAAGGACGGGUGAGUGAUGAAGGCCGUAGGGUAGUAAAGUUCGUUUAUCCGGGACGAUAAUGACAGUACCGGGAGAAUAAGCUCCGGCUAACUUCGUG